GGCCCGGUAGCUCAGCGGAUAGAGUAGAAGUUUCCUAAACUUUUGGUCGGACGUUCGAUUCGUCUCCGGGUCA
rnacentral:tRNA from 2 species